UGAACGCUAGCGGCAGGCUUAACACAUGCAAGUCGAGGGGUAACAGGGAUUGCUUGCAAUCCGCUGACGACCGGCGCACGGGUGCGUAACGCGUAUGCAACCUACCUUCUACAGGGGAAUAGUCAAUAGAAAUGUUGAAUAAUACCCCAUACGAUCUUUGAAUAGCAUUAUUUAGAGAAGAAAGUUCCGGCGGUAGAAGAUGGGCAUGCGUCCUAUUAGUUAGUUGGAGAGGUAACGGCUCCCCAAGACAUCGAUAGGUAGGGGUCCUGAGAGGGAGACCCCCCACACUGGUACUGAGACACGGACCAGACUCCUACGGGAGGCAGCAGUGAGGAAUAUUGGACAAUGGAGGCAACUCUGAUCCAGCCAUGCCGCGUGCAGGAAGACUGCCCUAUGGGUUGUAAACUGCUUUUAUACAGGAAGAAAUGUACCUACGUGUAGGUAUUUGACGGUACUGUACGAAUAAGGAUCGG
rnacentral:rRNA from 1 species